GACGAACGCUGGCGGCGUGCUUAACACAUGCAAGUCGAGCGGUAAGGCCCUUUCGGGGGUACACGAGCGGCGAACGGGUGAGUAACACGUGGGUGACCUGCCUUUAGCUCUGGGAUAAGCCUGGGAAACUGGGUCUAAUACCGGAUAUGACCCUAUGGCGCAUGUUGUGGGGUGGAAAGCCUUGUGCGGCUAGGGAUGGGCCCGCGGCCUAUCAGCUUGUUGGUGGGGUGAUGGCCACCAAGGCGACGACGGGUAGCCGGCCUGAGAGGGCGACCGGCCACACUGGGACUGAGACACGGCCCAGACUCCUACGGGAGGCAGCAGUGGGGAAUCUUGCGCAAUGGGCGAAAGCCUGACGCAGCGACGCCGCGUGA
rnacentral:rRNA from 1 species